AGAAGAUAUUUUUAAAUCCACCUUGCGUACGACAGAAUCAAAAAUUUUUGAUUUCGUCGGACGCCGCAUCCGAUUUUAUCUGUCAAACUAAAUGUGUGGUGUUUUGUAGGAACUAUCUCAACUUAAUUUUUCAUAAUCGUUAUAUUAUUAAAAUCAUCCAAAUAAUCGCAAUAUUAUACGAAAAAGCGUUUGACAGCACGUGCGAUAAAAUCGCAUGCGAUGGAGCACAGACACGGGCCUAAAUAACUAAAUAAUACCUGCAACAGUAGGGUUACCAAUAUUGAAACAUCCUUUAGCGCGCGGGAUGGUUACAUAUUCCGUCUUAUGGCCCACAGCCAAUUUAGUGCAGCAAAGUUUGGAUGGACGAAGCUAUGAUGCUUUAGACUUUGUUCAGAGUUUGAGGUAUGGAUUAUACGGUACAUUUUACGUUGCCCCGACGAUCUAUGGAUGGGUAAAGAUAACCAGCAUCAUGUGGCCAAAAAUUAAUUUACGUACUGCCAUGAUCAAAGCUAUUAUCGAGCAAGCUACAUAUGGGCCAUUUGCUGGCAUUAGUUUUUUAUAUAUUAUGUCAUUGACCGAAGGAAAGACAGCUGUAGAAGCAGUAAAAGAAGUAAAAUUGAAAUUCCCCACUACAUAUACAGUAGGUCUUGCAUUUUGGCCUUUUAUUCAAACAAUCAAUUUUGCUUGUAUACCCGAACGGAAUCGUGUGCUAUUUGUUGCAACCUGCAGUUUCGUAUGGACAGUUUUUCUAGCUUCUAUCAAAAAUAACUGUAUUUCGAAUCAAAACUAACAUCUGACGAAAUAAACAAAACUGCAACGUAGCAAACAGAAAA